CCGCCUCCAGUACUCCCUACCGGUCCACCCCCGAACGCCUCGGCAACAUCUUUCCCCAUGUUCCUUCCGAAAGUGAGCGAGAGGAAUGGUCCCGUACGUUGUUGCCAAGUCAUCGUCAUCACAAUGACUAAAACAGAGAGCCUUGCUGACCUGAAAACAAGACUUGGAGAACCUGACGUCAUGCUUACAGAGGAGGCCCCCGAUGGCGGGAAAACUGUACCUUACGUGGCUUUGUCACUUUCAACAGAGGAGUACAAAAGAACCGAUGUAGUACAGAUCGGCGACGGGGCACCCUGUGGUCAUGAGUGGUGCUGUGGGCGGAGUGAACUCGCCGAUCCAAGUCGCGCAAA